rnacentral:rRNA from 1 species
GAUCCUGGCUCAGGAUGAACGCUGGCGGCGUGCUUAACACAUGCGAGUCGAACGAAGCACUUUAACCUGAUUCUUCGGAUGAAGGUUUUUGUGACUGAGUGGCGGACGGGUGAGUAACGCGUGGGUAACCUGCCUCAUACAGGGGGAUAACAGUUAGAAAUGACUGCUAAUACCGCAUAAGACCACGGAGCCGCAUGGCUCAGUGGGAGAAACUCCGGUGGUAUGAGAUGGACCCGCGU